rnacentral:rRNA from 1 species
AGAGUUUGAUCCUGGCUCAGGAUGAACGCUGGCGGCGUGCUUAAUACAUGCAAGCCGAACGGAUGUUGUAGCAAUACGAUGUUAGUGGCGAACGGGUGAGUAACGCGUUGGUGACCUGCCCCGAAGUGAGGGAUAACAGCUCGAAAGGGCUGCUAAUACCGCAAGAGAUCCACCUAGUUAGAGAGGGUGGAUGAAAGGAGAAAUCCGCUUUGGGAGGGGCCUGCGUCCCAUCAGCUAGUUGGUGAGGUAAAAGCUCACCAAGGCGACGACGGGUAGGGGGCCUGAGAGGGUGACCCCCCACACUGGCACUGAAACACGGGCCAGACACCUACGGGUGGCAGCAGUAGGGAAUAUUGCACAAUGGGCGAAAGCCUGAUGCAGCAACGCCGCGUGCGCGAUGAAGGCCUUCGGGUUGUAAAGCGCUUUUCGGGGAGACGAGGAAGGACGGUAUCUCCGGAAUAAGGAUCGGCUAACUACGUGCCAGCAGCCGCGGUAAAACGUAGGAUCCGAGCGUUAUCCGAAUUCACUGGGCGUAAAGCGCGUGCAGGCGGCACGGUAAGUUGGAUGUAAAAUCUCCCGGCUCAACUGGGAGAGGACGUUCAAUACUGUCGAGCUCGAGGGCGAUAGAGGGAGGUGGAAUUCCCGGUGUAGUGGUGAAAUGCGUAGAUAUCGGGAGGAACACCAGUGGCGAAAGCGGCCUCCUGGAUCGUACCUGACGCUCAGACGCGAAAGCUAGGGGAGCAAACGGGAUUAGAAACCCCGGUAGUCCUAGCUGUAAACGAUGUAGACUUGGUGUUGGUGGUGUAAAAACCAUCGGUGCCGAAGCAAACGCGAUAAGUCUACCGCCUGGGGACUGCGGCCGCAAGGUUAAAACUCAAAGGAAUUGACGGGGGCCCGCACAAGCAGCGGAGCGUGUGGUUUAAUUCGAUUUACGCGAAAAACCUUACCCGGGUUUGACAUGUAGGUGGUAGGGAAACGAAAGUGGACCGACCCUUCGGGGAGCCUACACAGGUGUUGCAUGGCUGUCGUCAGCUCGUGUCGUGAGAUGUCCGGUUAAGUCCGGUAACGAGCGCAACCCGCGCCGUAUGUUACAAGUGUCAUACGGGACUGCUGGUAUAAAGCCGGAGGAAGGUGCGGACGACGUCAAGUCAGCAUGGCCUUUAUAUCCGGGGCUACACACACGCUACAAUGGCCAGUACAAUGGGUAGCAAAGCCGCAAGGUGGAGCCAAUCCCCAAAGCUGGUCUCAGUUCAGAUUGCAGGCUGCAACUUGCCUGCAUGAAGUCGGAGUUGCUAGUAACCGCGCGUCAGCAUUAGUGCGGUGAAUACGUUCCCGGGCCUUGUACACACCGCCCGUCACGUCAUGGGAGCUGGCAACACCUGAAGCCGGUAUCCUAACCGCAAGGAGGGAGCCGUCGAAAGUGGGGCUGGUGACUGGGACGAAGUCGUAACAAGGUA